AUAAAGAAAAUGAAUUUAUUUUUUUUAAUUCCAACAAAAAUGAUGUACAAAAACAUUUGUAAAUUUAGUUAUUGAAUUAAUAUGCAUUUCAUAUUUAUUUAAUUUAACAUUUAGCAUCUACACGAGCUAUUUGUUUAAACGAACACUGAACGAUUAUUACAGUUUUCAUAGUACAAACCGGAAGACUUUUUAUUAUAUUUUUAUUUCACUUUCACUCACACUUUCCACUCUCCCCACUCACACUUUUCACUCCCACCCACUCACACUUUUCACUUCCACUCACCCUUUCCACUCUCCCCACUCACACGAUACCUUGCCCCCCAUUCCCUUCCACUCACCAUUUCUCCUACAUACCAAGGAACUAAGUGCGGAGCUACACCCACAGAAGUUCAGCUAUACCACACGGACUCCACAAACUCAGCUGAAAGCUCUAAAGACUUCAUCUACAAAUCACUCUGCCCAUUUUACCUCCAUUCACGGCUUUGAGCAUCAGAAGGAUUAGCACUGCUAUUCCGAUUCAGAGAUAAGGUUAAACGACAGGCUUUGCCUAUUCAGGUUGAGCAGCUACCGAUGGUGAUGAAGUGACGAGCGAGAUUCUUCUACCUUAUUAUGUAUUAAUGAACUCUAGGGUUACAUGUCUUCAUACAUGUAAUCAGAACCUUAUUCCGCUGCGUACUCAGAAGUUUUAUGUUAUUUUGGCUGAGUCAGAGAUAUCUGAACUUACUAGUUAUUUGAGUUUAUACGACUAAACAUCUGUUAUAUUAUAAAUAUUUCUUUUGUUAAAUGAUGAAAUGUGAUCCUUCCUUGUUUGAUUAUACCCUUUCUACCCCGCUUCUAAUCUCCCUCCAUUAGUCACGGUUUCCCCGGCUUAAUUAUCCUUAAUUAGGGCCGGUCGUGACAGAGUGGUAUCAGAGCAGUUCAUUUGCUCUGAACCCUAGAGUUAGCCCAUUUUUCUAGUAUGAUCACUAGUAUAUACGAGUCAGUCAACCAAAGCUCAUCACUUCAUCACAUCAUCAUGCUCAGCAAGAAAGAAGGUGGUAAUGAUUUUAAACCAUUGAGAAGUUCACGUUUUAUAAGAAUGUACUGAUGCUUACAUUCAAGUUUUAUGCUUUAUUGAUUGAUUAGAUAUCUCAAUGAACUUAGAUGCGUUAAGAAUGCAUGAUCACUGUUACGAGAAGAACAAUAGAAGCUAGAAACUCAGUUAUAUUUCACUAUAGCCAUGGUGAAGAGCUAAGAAAGAGGAAGAGAAUCCAAUGAAAGUAGUGCAAGCGGAGUGCCACGCACGAAUCACUGACGCAGGCAUUGUUCUUCAUUCAGGUUGUUCACGCGAGACGGAACACCUAAUCGACUAUUGCCUUAUUCAAUGAUAGUUUAAGUAUGAUAUUGCUUAUAGCGAUGAGUGUGACUUAUGUAAUCAGUUAGCUAAUCCCUAACAAGUUGAGACUCACUUCUAGCCUCGAUUAUCACUAGCUAUGGCUUGAGGAUAACCUUCAUGAUUCAUGUAUGAACUUCAGAGUUAGACUUACGAGGGGUCAAAAUGCUUUGUAUAUGAUGUUAUAAUAUUACGAUUAAAGCUAUCAGCUUAUAGUUUCAGAUAUUCGGAACCAUUCUACUUACAGUACCUAUCGCAAUAGAUAAGGACAUGACUGAGAAUCCCUAUUGAUUACGAUCACCUACUACGAAUUGGAAAGACGAGAUGU